CCAGCAGCCGCGGUAAUUCCAGCUCCAAUAGCGUAUAUUAAAGUUGUUGCGGUUAAAAAGCUCGUAGUUGGAUCUCGGCGAACAGGGGGCGGUUCGUUAUUUGACGGUACUGCCCCAUUUGUUCGUAUUUUUGCAAGAGGGUUGGGGGUCCCCUUCAUUGGGUGUCUCCGGUCGCUUGCAGGUUUACUUUGAAAAAAUUAGAGUGCUCAAAGCAGGCUUACACGCUUGAAUAUUCGUGCAUGGAAUAAUAGAAUAGGAAGUCGUUUCUAUUUUGUUGGUUUUCGGAAAAUGACUUAAUGAUUAAUAGGGACAAUCGGGGGCAUUAGUAUUCAAACGACAGAGGUGAAAUUCUUGGACCGUUUGAAGACUAACUACUGCGAAAGCAUUUGCCAAGAGUGUUUUCAUUAAUCAAGAACGAAAGUUAGAGGUUCGAAGGCGAUCAGAUACCGCCCUAGUUCUAACCAUAAACGAUGCCAGCUAGCGAUCUGCGGGUGUGUAAAAACAAGACCCCGCAGGGAGCUUCCGGGAAACCAAAGCUUGUGGGUUCCGGGGGAAGUAUGGCUGCAAAGCUGAAACUUAAAGGAAUUGACGGAAGGGCACCACCAGGAGUGGAGCCUGCGGCUUAAUUUGACUCAACACGGGAAAUCUCACCAGGCCCGGACACCGGAAGGAUUGACAGAUUGAGAGCUCUUUCUCGAUUCGGUGGGUGGUGGUGCAUGGCCGUUCUUAGUUGGUGGAGUGAUUUGUCUGGUUAAUUCCGAUAACGAACGAGACUCUGUCCUGCUAAAUAGUAAGCUGAUUACUUUGUCAGCUUGUCUUCUUAGAGGGACUGGCGGAUUUAAACCGCACGAGAUUGAGCAAUAACAGGUCUGUGAUGCCCAA
rnacentral:rRNA from 1 species